UCAGCGGUCAUGGAGAGUCUCCAUCCAGCUGGAUCACUGUCACAGGGGAACACACCACCACACCUCCACCUACAUCCACACCUCCACCUACAUCCACACCUCCUCUUGGUUCCACCUCCAUCACUCUUCCUCCAUCACUCUCUCCUGCUGUUCUCUCUGUGUUGUCAUGUGUUGGAUCAGCCUGUGUUGCGGUUCUACUGGUGUUACUGGUUCUGCUGGUAAGACGAUGUGUUCACAGGAAACCUGCAGAAGGACAAGAAAACACUUUAGAAAAUGAAGUCAUUGAUGACAUCAUAUACAGUGAGAUCAAAACAUCACACUGUCCGCAGCAGCCAAUCAGACAAAGCAGAGACUUUAACCGAGAGCCCAACGUUGUCUACUCUUCAAUGAAGUAGUCCACGGGUCCAACCGCUGGUGUCUAACUGGUCCCCCAGCACCACAGACACAGGAUAUGUACAUGCUAAAUAGAUUUGUAUGCAGAUUUGUGUGUAUUUUGCCUAAUGUCUUAUUUUUUAUCUGCGUUUUUAAAGUGUAUUUUGCUGCAAAAUCAACAGUAUGGUUACAAAUGUUUUUAAGUCCUCAGUAAGAUCACUGUUAUUUAUAUUUUAUUCAUGUUUGUUACAUCUUGAUCUUGUUGCUGAAGUAGCAAUUUAGUUCCUCUUCAAGAUUAAUAAAUGUUUGUUCUCACUUGUUUACCAUGUGUGUUUCUGUGGGUUUUGCCGAGGUAUCAGAUGGAAAAUCUGACUUGAGUUUUCUUUGGCUAACUGACACACCUCUAUUCAGUGCAGAAAAGUGUGAGACUAAAGACAGCAGAAGUGUCACUCGGUAGUUUCAAAUGACACUGAAAAGCUUCAGUGUGUUUGAAACUGAUAUCUGACAUUUUGCAGCUGUACUUUGAAAAUAUGUUGGUAUAGAUGUGACCCGUGGGAGGUACUAUUUAAUUAGUAAAUGAGCCUCAGGAAUAUAGUCAGUUCACAAGCUUUUAUGCUGAUACAAAACUUUCUAUACAUGUAACAGUAGCACCAAACAAACAAUUAAAAGAUCUACUUUAUCAACUACAAAAUGAACAAUUGUAUGAGGAAGACCAGAUAAGCGCUGUGGGGAAUAUAUUAAAAACUAUUGCCAUGUGUCAUCCUUUGAAUGCCUUCGUUUUUCCAAGGGUCCCGUUCAGCCUUUCUCUGUCCUUGCUGGAUCCAUCCAGCCUGCAGCACUGUCCUGGGUCUGUGACCCAGUGUUUUCUGUUUCGUAUUAUUAGUUUUUGAUUUCACAAUGUAUCUUUUUUUCAUUUUUAGUUUGGUUUCUCUGUUCCCUCUGACAUUAAAGUCUGUACAAUGUCUCUGUGCAUUUCCUGGUUUAUUCUGAAGGUCCGUGUCUCAUGUGAGUGUAUUCUGUUUCGCUUCCUUGUCUCAUCUUCCCCAAUCAGUCCCAGCUGUGUUGCCACCUGUUCCUUGUUCUCUCUUGUGCCUGCCUGUGUAUUUAUAGUGUGUGUCAACUUGGGGUCGUCGCUGGUUCGUCUGCAUCAUUUCCUCGCAUCCUCCUGUGUCUCUCUGUAAAGGUAUCAGGUCUGUGGUUGUUAGCUUACCCAAGGUUGUCUUAGGUUCUGCACUUCCCAUCACCUCUGCUGUUUGUAUCUUCAGCUGCACAAUAAAGCUCACUCAUAUCAGAAGCUGCCUGCAUCCUGGGUCCUUAUUAAAUUGCACAUGGCUUGCCCCACGAGCUGUGACAGUUCAUUAAAAUGCAAGUUGAUAUGACCAUUGAUCAAUGGCCAUGUGUACCAUUUACAGAGAGUUAGGGAAUGGCUGCAGUCACAUCAUUGCAAGAUGGUGAAAGAUGUAGUCUACUGGUAAGAUAGUCAACAAACUGAUGGUCCACUCCUGCUCCCUGCAGCUUCCCUCUUAGCACUGCGGGUUGGAUUGUGUUGAAGGCACUGGAGAAAUAAAAGAACAUGACUCUCACAGUGCACCCGGUGCUCUCCAGAUAAGAAAAGGCCCAAUGCCGCAGGUAGAUGACAGCAUCAUCUACCCCAAUGUUUGGCUGGUAGACAAACUGCAGUGGGUUUUGGUGUAUCACUCCUGAUGAAUGGCAUGGGGGGAGGAGGCAGUAGAGUCGUUGAAAGAAAAGGAAAAAGAGGGCAGGUGAGUUGCAUCUGGUAUCCCCGGUGCUAUGGGGGGUUGCAGAGAGGUGUGAAGAGCUCUGGUGGAUGGGGAGGGAAGGGCUUUCCUGGUCAAUACAGUGUUAUCCACACAGAAGCUGAUAUAGUCUGUUAUGCAGGUUGUUAGGCUGGCUGGAUGGGGGAGUGGCGUGUGCCUGGCGGCACUCUCGAUGGAGAACAAUGAAGACAAGAUACUUAAAACAGAUCGUGAGAGCAGCUGAGAAGAUCAUUGGAGCUCCUCUUCCCUCCAUCACGGAUACUUAUAGCACCUGUUCCAUCGGCAAAGCCACCAGCAUUGUGGAGGACCCCACACACAGUUUCUUCCCCCAAGCCGUCAGAUUCCUGAACACUCAGUGACUGGAAUGACACACACACUCGCACACCUCCAUACUCAUGACUACCAAGCACUUAACUGCAGUCUCUCACUCUCAUACACACACACACAGGGAGAGAGAGAGACUAAGUUACUUUUGCACCAUACUCAGCAUUUUGCACAUAUCCAUUGCAUCUUGUGAUUCUAUCAUCCUGUUCCAUCUAGUGUUGCUGUGGACGGGCUGUGAGUACUCAGACUGCUACAGAACGCAACAUGGAGGCCUGUUGACUUUUU